rnacentral:rRNA from 1 species
GACGAACGCUGGCAGCGCGCCUAACACAUGCAAGUCGAACGAGAGAGAGGGAGCUUGCUUCCUCAAUCGAGUGGCGAACGGGUGAGUAACGCGUGAGGAACCUGCCUCAAAGAGGGGGACAACAGUUGGAAACGACUGCUAAUACCGCAUAAGCCCACAGGUCGGCAUCGACCAGAGGGAAAAGGAGCAAUCCGCUUUGAGAUGGCCUCGCGUCCGAUUAGCUAGUUGGUGAGGUAAUGGCCCACCAAGGCAACGAUCGGUAGCCGGACUGAGAGGUUGAACGGCCACAUUGGGACUGAGACACGGCCCAGACUCCUACGGGAGGCAGCAGUGGGGAAUAUUGCACAAUGGGGGAAACCCUGAUGCAGCGACGCCGCGUGGAGGAAGAAGGUCUUCGGAUUGUAAACUCCUGUUGUUGAGGAAGAUAAUGACGGUACUCAACAAGGAAGUGA